UGAGCUCAGCAAUAGGGUCAGAAUGGGCUGCUCCAAACUUCCCAAACUCCACCCUGUGGCUUGAUUCACAGUUGUCCCGUGUUCACAUGGACAGGUGGGAAAAGUUUCUGCUGAGAGAAUCAUGUAUCAAGUUCUUUUGUCUCCCUAACUUCCCUUUCCCCUGGCCUCGGCCUUCAGCCUGCCUCUAGAUUUUCCUGCACCAAGUAUCUGUGAUUCACUUCACCUCUUUCUGAGGCUGUGAGGGCUGAUCCAAGAGCUAUGGUGGGUGAGUGUCAACAACAGAGUUGGAACAUCUGGCAACACUGAAUCGACAGUCCUGCAUAUCAGUGAUGCAGCUGAGCUGUGGCUACUCCCUUAAGAUAAAGCCUAUUGUACAUAUAGGUAUAGAUUGUUCCAACCUGACGUCACUGAUUGAUUCCACCUGACACCAAUUCCCUCUAUAACCGGUAACCUCCCCCUCGCUCCCGGGAGUGAAGACCACCGCCCCGUCCAGCCUGGCCUGUCUGCCACGCAUCGUAGGAUGUUGCUGCAGGAUCCUGCUUCAGACGCUUCAGACGUGUAAGCUCCCCCACUCACGAAACCAUUGGCGUCUCUGUUGCUGA